CCUCCUUUCCCUUAUCUCCUCGUCUACCUCCAAACAGAACCACCGUGAAACCACCAAAGACAACGAAACGCGGCCUUCUUUCUUGCUUUUCUCCGUUGACAGCCACCAUUGAAACCCCCAACAUAUGAUUUCGUUUCUUCGUCUUCACUAUAUCGUCAACGAACAAGACCCCUCCACUAUUGCGUCGUCCUCAACAACGAACCAGGCAAACCAGCCGUAGGGAACUCCGAUACAGUUCAGCUAAAGGCAAAACAGAAGAUGUUGAAGCUUUCAAAAGAGACCUCCAGAAUAAGCUAACUCAGAUAGUUUCUCAGAUCACUAAAGAAGAAGAGGAAUACCGAGUUGAACAGAAUAUUCAUCGGCAGGCAAGUCAUUGUGUUUUUGUUAGACCAGUCUAUUCUCAUACCUUUGUCGUGUUGAUGUUGUCUGGUGUUUUUCAGGUUGAAGAAGAAUUGAUUAUUUUGGAAAGUAAAGCAUCACCGGUAGAGGGAAUCACAAAAGAAAAUAUGGAAACAAGAGUUAGCCAGAUAUCCUUGAAUUUGUGUUUUUUGCUCUUCUGCUACUUAGGAAAUUUGUUGCUAUCUGAACCAAAAUUCCUGCCAUAGUAGAGAAUGCUAAGCAUUUCCAGAAGGUAAAAAGAACUUCUAUCCAAGUACCUUUACACACGAAGUUGCAAAAUCCUAAACUGCUUCAGCUUGUAUAUUCAUAGGGAUAUUCAUGUCUGGGGCUUAUCUAAUUGUUUGACAAUGGACAUGAACCUCCUAUUGUGGAGGUUGAGAAUUAGAGUGGAGGGUCAAUAGGUAGUUGGGCGUAUUGCUUUUCUUUUCUCUCUGUUGUUCCUUUAGCCUCUGCUAUCUUAUUAUCUUCUUGUUGUUUCUGCUUGUUGCUACUUUCUCUUUUUUAUCAUUUUUAGUAUCGAUGGUCUAUUGGAAAUAACUUCUCUACCUUCCCAAGGUAGGAUUA